ACUCCUACGGGAGGCAGCAGUGGGGAAUCUUGGACAAUGGGGGCGAACCCUCGAUCCAGCCAUGCCGCGUGAGUGAUGAAGGCCUUAGGGUCGUAAAGCUCUUUCGCCAGGGAUGAUAAUGACAGUACCUGGUAAAGAAACCCCGGCCUAACUCCGUGCCAGCAGCCGCGGUAAUACGGAGGGGUUAGCGUUGUUCGGAAUUACUGGGGCGUAAAGCGCGCGUAGGCGGACCAGAAAGUUGGGGGUGAAAUCCCGGGGCUCAACCCCGGAACUGCCUCCAAAACUCCUGGUCUUGAGUUCGGGGAGAGGUGAGUGGAAUUCCGAGUGUAGAGGUGAAAUUCGUAGAUAUUCGGAGGAACACCAGUGGCGAAGGCGGCUCACUGGCUCGAUACUGACGCUGAGGUGCG
rnacentral:rRNA from 1 species